AACGAACGCUGGCGGCAUGCCUAACACAUGCAAGUCGAACGAGACCUUCGGGUCUAGUGGCGCACGGGUGCGUAACGCGUGGGAACCUGCCCUUAGGUUCGGAAUAACUCCCCGAAAGGGGUGCUAAUACCGGAUAAUGUCUUCGGACCAAAGAUUUAUCGCCUUUGGAUGGGCCCGCGUUGGAUUAGCUAGUUGGUAGGGUAAAAGCCUACCAAGGGGACGUUCCAUAGCUGGUCUUGGAGGAUGAUCAGCCACACUGGGACUGAGACACGGCCCAGACUCCUACGGGAGGCAGCAGUGGGGAAUAUUGGACAAUGGGCGAAAGCCUGAUCCAGCAAUGCCGCGUGAGUGAUGAAGGCCUUAGGGUUGUAAAGCUCUUUUACCCGGGAUGAUAAUGACAGUACCGGGAGAAUAAGCUCCGGCUAACUCCGUG
rnacentral:rRNA from 1 species